rnacentral:tRNA from 1 species
AGGCCUAUAACUUAGUGGUAGAGUAAUCGCUUGAUAAGCGGGAGGUCAUAGGUUCGAAUCCUAUUAGGCCUA